AGCGAACGCUGGCGGCAGGCUUAACACAUGCAAGUCGAACGGGCUUCUUCGGAAGUCAGUGGCAGACGGGUGAGUAACACGUGGGAACGUGCCCUUCGGUUCGGAAUAACUCAGGGAAACUUGAGCUAAUACCGGAUACGCCCUUUUGGGGAAAGGUUGACUGCCGAAGGAUCGGCCCGCGUCUGAUUAGCUUGUUGGUGGGGUAACGGCCUACCAAGGCGACGAUCAGUAGCUGGUCUGAGAGGAUGAUCAGCCACACUGGGACUGAGACACGGCCCAGACUCCUACGGGAAGCAGCAGUGGGGAAUAUUGGACAAUGGGCGCAAGCCUGAUCCAGCCAUGCCGCGUGAGUGAUGAAGGCCUUAGGGUUGUAAAGCUCUUUUGUCCGGGACGAUAAUGACGGUACCGGAAGAAUAAGCCCCGGCUAACUUCGUG
rnacentral:rRNA from 1 species